rnacentral:rRNA from 1 species
CUUUAUUGGAGAGUUUGAUCCUGGCUCAGGACGAACGCUGGCGGCGUGCCUAAUACAUGCAAGUCGAGCGAGUCUCUUCGGAGGCUAGCGGCGGACGGGUGAGUAACACGUAGGCAACCUGCCUCUCAGACUGGGAUAACAUAGGGAAACUUAUGCUAAUACCGGAUAGGUUUU